rnacentral:snRNA from 1 species
GUGCUCCCUUCGGCAGCACAUAUACUAGCAUUGGAAUGAUACAGAGAAGAUUAGCAUGGCCCCUGCGGAAGGAUGACACACAAAAUCGUGAAGCGUUCCAUAUUUAA